rnacentral:rRNA from 1 species
UGGGGAAUAUUGGACAAUGGGCGAAAGCCUGAUCCAGCAAUGCCGCGUGUGUGAAGAAGGUCUUCGGAUUGUAAAGCACUUUCGACGGGGACGAUGAUGACGGUACCCGUAGAAGAAGCCCCGGCUAACUUCGUGCCCG